GAUGAACGCUGGCGGCGUGCCUAAUACAUGCAAGUCGAGCGAACGGACGAGAAGCUUGCUUCUCUGAUGUUAGCGGCGGACGGGUGAGUAACACGUGGAUAACCUACCUAUAAGACUGGGAUAACGUCGGGAAACCGGAGCCAAUACCGGAUAAUAUUUUGAACCGCAUGGUUCAAAAGUGAAAGACGGUCUUGCUGUCACUUAUAGAUGGAUCCGCGCUGCAUUAGCUAGGUGGUAAGGUAACGGCUUACCAAGGCAACGAUGCAUAGCUGAUCUGAGAGGAUGAUCGGUCACACUGGCACUGAGACACGGUCCAGACUCCUACGGGAGGCAGCAGGGGGGAAUAUUGGACAAUGGGCGAAAGCCUGAUCCAGCCAUGCCGCGUGUGUGAAGAAGGUCUUCGGAUUGUAAAGCACUUUAAGUUGGGAAGAAGAGCAGUAAGUUAAUACCUUGCUGUUUUGACGUUACCAACAGAAUAAGCACCGGCUAACUUCGUG
rnacentral:rRNA from 1 species